rnacentral:rRNA from 1 species
AGAGUUUGAUCAUGGCUCAGAUUGAACGCUGGCGGCAUGCCUAACACAUGCAAGUCGAACGGUAGCAGGCCUUCGGGUGCUGACGAGUGGCGGACGGGUGAGUAAUGCGUAGGAAUCUGUCUUUUAGUGGGGGACAACCCAGGGAAACUUGGGCUAAUACCGCAUGAGCCCUGAGGGGGAAAGCGGGGGAUCUUCGGACCUCGCGCUAAGGGAAGAGCCUACGUCUGAUUAGCUAGUUGGUAGGGUAAAGGCCUACCAAGGCGACGAUCAGUAGCUGGUCUGAGAGGACGACCAGCCACACUGGGACUGAGACACGGCCCAGACUCCUACGGGAGGCAGCAGUGGGGAAUUUUUCGCAAUGGGGGCAACCCUGACGAAGCAAUGCCGCGUGGAUGAAGAAGGCCUUCGGGUUGUAAAGUCCUUUCGUGGGGGACGAAAAGGUGGUUCCUAAUACGAGCUGCUGUUGACGUGAACCCAAGAAGAAGCACCGGCUAACUCCGUGCCAGCAGCCGCGGUAAUACGGGGGGUGCAAGCGUUAAUCGGAAUCACUGGGCGUAAAGGGUGCGUAGGCGGUACGUUUAGGUCUGUCGUGAAAUCCCCGGGCUCAACCUGGGAAUGGCGGUAGAAACCGGCGCACUAGAGUAUGGGAGAGGGUGGUGGAAUUCCAGG